CUUUUCAUCGGCAAAGGCAAGGACAAGGGAAAUACGCAGCAGGUGCAUCGGUUCUUGCUUAGUCCUCGGUAAACAAGGACUUUUGAACAAACAGAAAUAUCUCAUGCAGUUUCUCAUUAAGUAUUAAGAUUUAUUUGGACCGACGAUAGAUCAAGCACUUACUGGCGACUCGUUGAGUAUUUAUUAUUAAGACAAGUAGUGUCCAAAAGUAGUGGACAAAUUUGUGACCCAAAUAUUCAAACAUUACUGUACGUUGACAACGUUCAGUCUUCAUCCAACAAUCGUAUUGUACGAGCAUCAUAUUCGUAGAACGUGAUAAGUGUAUCAAAACAUAUACCAUUGCGUGACGAAGAAAGUGAAUGAGACACAUGAAGACCAACUGAUUAGGGCACUAACAAGCGAUGCAAUGAAAAGAUCGAAUGUUUAGUCUGGGAUUCUAUAACUAUAGUAUAAUACAUACUGUGUUUAUGAAUUAUUAAGGUUCAUUUUUUGUAUCAUAUAAUGUAUACGUAUAAUCGAUCAUAAAAUCAUCUAAUAUUAGGUAUUCAACAUAUCUUAUGUGAAAUUAUGUAUCGAAUAAAAAGGAGAAAAUAAUUCGAAAUUUAUUUUUAACAAUGAUGAUCUGAUUUGCAAACCAAAUGUACAAUGUGCAAAGCAAACCAAAAUGUACAGUAAACAAUUACAUUCUGAACAUUAAAUAUGAAAUAUUCAAACA